rnacentral:rRNA from 1 species
UGCGUAGGUGGUUGUUUAAGUCUGUUGUGAAAGCCCUGGGCUCAACCUGGGAACUGCAGUGGAAACUGGACGACUAGAGUGUGGUAGAGGGUAGCGGAAUUCCUGGUGUAGCAGUGAAAUGCGUAGAGAUCAGGAGGAACAUCCAUGGCGAAGGCAGCUACCUGGACCAACACUGACACUGAGGUGCGAAAGCGUGGGGAGCAAACA